rnacentral:misc_RNA from 1 species
GUGAAUCAUCGAAUUUUUGAACGCAAAUUGCACUCUCUGGUAUUCCGGAGAGUAUGCCUAUUUGAGGGUCAGCCUAAAAAAAAUCGACAUUGUUGCUGUUAUUUAAUGGUGACUUUCGUCGGAGAUUGGGUUAUCUUAAACCUUUUUUUUUUUUUUGUUUUAAGCGAUUUAAAAUUUUUUUUCACGUUUCCUUAAACUUUUCUAAGUUUUUUUUUUUUUUUAGUUUUAAGUUUUUUCGACUUUUUUUUAGACGUGCCCG